ACACAUUACUAGAAGCUUCUGUGGUAUCUGGUCCUCUGCUAACACAUUGCAGUGUCAGAGGAGAUGCUGGAAUGUUGUGAGAGCAGUGUGUGGGCGGAGCUAUGCUUAGAGUAUGAUGUCGAUGAUGAUGUCACAGUUUCCUUUGAUCUCACAGGCAGAAUUCUUUUGAGACUCUUGUAAGAUUUGCCUUUGCCUACUUUGUGACAGAGAUCACAUCUUUGCGACAUUUCUGACAGAACUUGCUACGAACGUUUUAAUCUACAGUGUUUGCUAAUCGAAAGCUGAAACAAUCACAAAAUGUUUUGGCUUGAAAAGACUCCAAGAUCUGCCUCCCAGCAGGGAAAUGGUAGCGUUGGAUGCUUAAUGCAGUCAUAGUUACCUGGCUGCCCCAAAUGCCACAGUACACAAGGUAGGCUAGAAGCUUACAGGCCACCAGGCCGAAGAUCCAGCCAUAAAGUAGACUGUAAAUCCAUAGCGGAAGGGUCAGCAGGCAGAGCAUAUCAGAGAUGGCUAGAUUCAGCAUUAAAAUCUGGCUCAGGCUGGAAAGAUGAUGCCAGUUAGGCUUGAGAAAAAUCACACCAAUGUGUCCGGGAACUCCCAAAAUACAGCACAAGGACAGCACCACCACAGGGAUGACAGUUUUAUAGUUCCAGUGGGGAUAAGGAAGAAGUCCCGAAGAAGACAAGUUAAAAGUGAUCACAGUGGUAUUAGGCUGCUCCAUGCUGAGUCUUGCUGGUAAGGUUGUGUCCUAACCAACUGAUGCUAGCGAAUGUAAAUGCUUGAUAAAAAAAAAGAUCAACCAAAAAAGAAAUAGAAACAAACGACACUGACGGAAAUGAUGUAGAUCAAUGAUGUAGAUCAAUGUGCUAUUAUUGUCUACAUCACUUAGCAUGCUGUGAGUGUUUUCUAUGAACUAAGCACGCACAAGUUUCAUGCAACAGUUAUUUAUGUCAGAUUAAUUUAUACUGCUCUCUUGUGAACUACUCAAGCUGUGAAUUCCUGGGGAAAUGGGGGUUUUGACCCCCUAAUGAAGACCAGGGCUCCCCAAACAGGUAAAAAUAACAGUUUAAUUGUUGAAGAAAAAAUGUAUUUUCUAAAGACAGAGAACGUUGAAAACCAUUCAAUCAGCUUUAUUAGUUUACCCUUACAAGGGAGACAGUUUUUUCCACAUCAGACUUAUUACUGAGCAGAGCUGAGACCAAUCUGAUGAGACAAAGGUCGACACUUCCUUAUAUCAGCUUAGCAAAGACCCCAUGUGGCCCGGCACCCCCUCUAGGAAGAGCUAUUUACUGCAGAUCAGCCCAACUAUUAUUUGCAUUUUGUGUUCUCUUGUUGUCAUAACAACCACAAGAUAUGGUUCAUAACAAUUGUUUAUGCAAGCUUGUUAAAUGUAAGUCUUUGUUUUUUGUUAGUUAUUAGUGUUAAUUUCCCUUAUCUUCUCAAUUUAUUUAAUUGUAGAAUUAAUAAAUUUUUAUAUAUAUUAGAAUUUUAUUUUAUCCUCUGCUGUUUAAACUAGAAUCAAAUACUGUAUCAUGUCGUGUCUUUGAUUUUUUAUUUUUAAUAGUAGUAAUUAAAUAAAUGCGAAAAAGGUUAUUUAUUUUAUUUUACAGUUUAUCACACAUUACUAGAAGCUUCUGUGGUAUCUGGUCCUCUGCUAACACAUUGCAGUGUCAGAGGAGAUGCUGGAAUGUUGUGAGAGCAGUGUGUGGGCGGAGCUAUGCUUAGAGUAUGAUGUCGAUGAUGAUGUCACAGUUUCCUUUGAUCUCACAGGCAGAAUUCUUUUGAGACUCUUGUAAGAUUUGCCUUUGCCUACUUUGUGACAGAGAUCACAUCUUUGCGACAUUUCUGACAGAACUUGCUACGAACGUUUUAAUCUACAGUGUUUGCUAAUCGAAAGCUGAAACAAUUACAAAAUGUUUUGGCUUGAAAAGACUCCAAGAUCUGCCUCCCAGCAGGGAAAUGGUAAGAGCAAGCUUAUUAACAGAGUCUGCAAUCUUCUUAAAAAAACCAGCAACAUACGGGAAGAGAACGAAUAUUUCACUAAACAAGCAAGUAAAAUGACAAUGAGGGCGGAAGACAAAAAAGCCCUUGUAGAAGAUUAUAAGUACCUCAAAAGACAGAUUGAAGCUGAUCGUAAAUUAAACCAAGAAUUAAAACAGCAAGUUCAUGACCUAAAACUUAAACUGGAGGCUCAAAAGGUUUUGGAGGAAAAAUAUGAGACAAAACAGAAAGAACUUCAGAAUCUAGUGCAAAGCAACAAUGCUCUUCACAAUGAGGUUGUAACCUUAAAUUUGAAACUAAAUGAUCCCCUUGUAUUGCAAGAAAACUACCGGAGAGCAACAGAUAAGACAGAAACUAUGAUGCAACAAAACAGCUGCCUGGUAAAGCAGGUUAAGAGAGUCCAACAAAAAAUUUCACAACAAAACAAACCAGAAAGCUUACAAACAAAAAAGACAGUUUUUCAGAAGUUAGUGGACCAAGUUUGGAAAUAUAAAAAGCAUCACAAGGCUACAAAAUACAGGACUGAAAUUUAAAUUCUGAAAACUCUUAAUCCCAAAAAUGCUAAACGUCAGGCAGAAUAUGAACAGGUCAAACUUGAACUUAGAGAAACUGAAAUCCAGAAGAAAAAGCACAGUAAAAUCCGUUCUGCUACGCUGGCUAAUAAGGUUGAAAGUUUCUCUCUAUAUCACAAAACUCAUACAGUUUACAAGAAACUAGAGAAUUUGACAAGUAUGGCAGGACAACCUCAGAACAACCAGUGAUACACUGUAGGAAGCGUCUGUCCAAAAUAGUUUAAAGCAGUAGAAUAUCAAGACGGAACAAACAUUGGUCCUUAGUUUCCCUGCUCUUUCCUCUGUUGAUAAGAUAUGGUGGCACCAUAAUCCGCGCAGGGCCCGUAUUCACAUAAAAUCCUAGGACUAAAAUUGGCUUCUAGUGACGUCAUUUUAAGAAAAAAUAUGAUGCUGUCUUAGAAGACAGCAUCACACGUAGCAAUGGGGUCAACCACAUCAGUUUCUGGCAAGACUGCUUGCCCCAAAAAUUUGUAGGCUAAAAUAGGAGCUCUCUGAGAGGACUCUGAGAAUCUUUGAAAAUACAGACCCUGGUGCUUUGCUCCAUGGGUUUACAUUCAGGCAAAAGAUGUUUUUUGCAUCGAGUUAUUCCUGUGAUUGUGUGGGUUCUCUCCAGGUGCUCUGGCUUCUCCCACUGUCCAAAAAGCCGCAAGAAAUUGAUGGGUGGCUAAACAAAUUUUAUUGUAGCCAGAAGCUCUUAAGGAGAAAUUGUGAUUUCAUAAUUAUUCAGCGGUGUAGGAGUUUUUAUUAAAUUCUGAAACCCGGCCCAAACACUGAUCUGUUGAAUGAUGAGAUCAUGUCAAAAUGAUCAUAAUAUCUCAUUUUCGGUGAACUGCACUGCAAUCCCCAUGCAAACUUGUAGUAUAACCACAUGCAGGGACGUGCACAGAUAGACGCUAGGUGGUGCUAGAGCACCUGCCCUAUUAUCCUUUGGAGAAAAAAGAGCCCUCCUGAAAUCUUUUUUUUGUUUACAGUGUAUAGUGUGGGGCUCAAGGUAAAAUUUCUGCAUUUAAAGGCCUAUAAUACCAGUGCCCCCCCUUCACCAAAACACACACGUGUCCCGCCUCGUGUCUCUCAACGGAGACGGGCUGCGUGCAGAGUGGAGAGUUGGACCUGCGCUGGUCCAGCUUACCUCUUCUCUCCUCCCCUCUAAGUUGUAUUUCCUACUUCUCUGUGUGUAAAAAUGUUGAUGUGAUCAGAAUAUCUUAUUUUCUAAAUAGCAGACAUCUUAUCAGUUCUCAGGACUUGUAAUUUCAUUAAUUCUUAUUCUCUAAGGAUAAUUUUUGUCAUAUCACACUGGCUACAUGCAGAAGUAUAGAUGAUCUUCUUAUGAUUAUAUUCUCUGAUGUUGGUUUCAUUUUGA